rnacentral:rRNA from 1 species
CCUACGGGAGGCAGCAGUGAGGAAUAUUGGUCAAUGGGCGCGAGCCUGAACCAGCCAAGUCGCGUGAGGGAAGACUGCCCUACGGGUUGUAAACUUCUUUUGUCAAGGAAUAAAAUGAGGCACGUGUGCCUUAUUGUGUGUAGUUUAAGACAAAGCAUCGGCUAACUCCGUGCCAGCAGACGCGGUACUACGGAGGAACCGGGCGUUAUCCGGAUUUCUUGGGGUUUAAGGGAGCGUAGAUGGGUUGUUCAGUCAGUUGUGAAAGUUUGGGGCCCAACCUUAGUAGUGAAAUUGUAACUGGCAGCCGUGAGUUCAGUAGAGGUAGGCGGAAUGCGUGGUGUAGCGGUGAAAUGCUUAGAUAUCACGAAGAACUCCGAUUGCGAAGGCAGCUUACUA